rnacentral:rRNA from 1 species
AUUGAACGCUGGCGGCAGGCCUAACACAUGCAAGUCGAACGGUAACAGGAAGAAGCUUGCUUCUUUGCUGACGAGUGGCGGACGGGUGAGUAAUGUCUGGGAAACUGCCUGAUGGAGGGGGAUAACUACUGGAAACGGUAGCUAAUACCGCAUAACGUCGCAAGACCCAAAAAAAGGGGGGACCCUUCGGGCCUCUUGCCAUCGGAUGUGCCCAGAUGGGAUUAGCUAGUAGGUGGGGUAACGGCUCACCUAGGCGACGAUCCCUAGCUGGUCUGAGAGGAUGACCAGCCACACUGGAACUGAGACACGGUCCAGACUCCUACGGGAGGCAGCAGUGGGGAAUAUUGCACAAUGGGCGCAAGCCUGAUGCAGCCAUGCCGCGUGUAUGAAGAA